GGCGAACGCUGGCGGCGUGCUUAACACAUGCAAGUCGAACGGAAAGGCCCUGCUUUUGUGGGGUGCUCGAGUGGCGAACGGGUGAGUAACACGUGAGUAACCUGCCCUUGACUUUGGGAUAACUUCAGGAAACUGGGGCUAAUACCGGAUAGGAGCUCCUGCUGCAUGGUGGGGGUUGGAAAGUUUCGGCGGUUGGGGAUGGACUCGCGGCUUAUCAGCUUGUUGGUGGGGUAGUGGCUUACCAAGGCUUUGACGGGUAGCCGGCCUGAGAGGGUGACCGGCCACAUUGGGACUGAGAUACGGCCCAGACUCCUACGGGAGGCAGCAGUGGGGAAUAUUGCACAAUGGGCGGAAGCCUGAUGCAGCAACGCCGCGUGUGGGAUGACGGCCUUCGGGUUGUAAACCGCUUUCGCCUGUGACGAAGCGUGAGUGACGGUAAUGGGUAAAGAAGCACCGGCUAACUACGUG
rnacentral:rRNA from 1 species